CUUUGAGUUAGAAGGCCUACUUUAUUCGUCCUUUUAAAGCCUACUUAUUCGUCUAGCUAUUUCCAAUUCUAAUAAAUAACCCGAUCAUAUCAUAUCUUGGAAAACCCUAAGACUACCCAAGGCUGUACCCUACAGUGUUACCUAUAGUCUAUACUUGUGUAUACGUUGCCUUCUGGGGUGGCAAGCUAGAACCAAGUAGUCUAGGUAUCAAUUCCAAUUUAAGUCAAUGAUCCUCAUUUUCUCCAACAUUAAGAAGAUUAUUGGUAAGGUGACCAACCAUCACACAGGAUUCCGGGUCGGAGUAGCACCUCUUGCCUGAUAUAUACAGGUCGUUACUGGCGAUUUGUUUGUGCCCUAUGGUGUUCAAUUGCCCGUUUGUUCCCUCCCCCUCGGGACGGGUCAACCUACUUUGCCCGCUCAGGCGCUCCAAAAUGCUCUGACUAGACCGCCGACACCCAUGAUUUGUCCAUCAUUCAAAAUGGCAUUUCAUAAGGGCUCAUAAGGUAGGAGGAAUCACAGAUCCUCCGUGCACUUUCACCUAGAGUUAGUUUUAUUUUUCACUACUGUCUGAGUGGUGGCUAAACCCUGAAACUUUUCCUUGAAAUGAAAUAAAGAUCUAACUUUAUUCCAGUAGUGGUUUCCGCAAAUGUAGAUAAUCUUGUUGAUUAACACCCACUUUCCAUACCCUGCAAUUCAGAGGCCAUCACCUCUGGUUUUAUAGUAACAUAUCAGUAAACAAGGCUCUCCUCGUGUAGCUUUUUGUUCUCGAGGAAGAAAAUCUCAUUGAUUACUUAGAAUGCCGGAUGAAGCAAGUUACAACAUUGGUUCUUUCGUGAUUCACGUAUAUUGGAAAUCUCUUUCUUUAGGAAAUGGGAUGGCAUUCAAUUCUAACUUAGGGAUUCUCUUCUUCCUGAACAUUCAUGAAAAGAAGGACUCUGGCUUUAACGCUAAAGUUUAGUACUGGGCCGAGCGUACUUACCUACUUAGACAAGAGGGAUACUUAUACGUUGCCUUCUGGGGUGGCAAGCUAGAACCAAGUAGUCUAGGUAUCAAUUCCAAUUUAAGUCAAUGAUCCUCAUUUUCUCCAACAUUA
rnacentral:lncRNA from 1 species